rnacentral:rRNA from 1 species
GAUGAACGCUGGCGGCGUGCCUAAUACAUGCAAGUCGAGCGAACAGAUGAGGAGCUUGCUCCUCUGACGUUAGCGGCGGACGGGUGAGUAAGACGUGGAUAACCUACCUAUAAUACUGGGAUAACUUCGGGAAACCGGAGCUAAUACCGGAUAAUAUAUUGAACCGCAUGGUGCAGUAGUGAAAGACGGUUUUGCUGUCACUUAUAGAUGGAUCCGCGCCGCAUUAGCUAGUUGGUAAGGUAACGGCCUACCAAGGCAACGAUGCGUAGCCGACCUGAGAGGGGGAUCAGCCACACUUGAACCGAGACACCGGCCAGACCCCUAAGGGGGGGAACAGGGGGGAAUAUUGGCCAAUGGGGGGAAGCCUGAUCCAGGCAACCCGCGGGGGGGAAGAAGGCCUUCGGGUUGUAAAACCCUUUUUUUUGGAAAGAAAAAAAUCAGUUUAAUACUCCGCAGGUCUUACGGUACCCAAAGAAUAAGCACCGGCUAACUUCGUG